rnacentral:rRNA from 1 species
GACGGAGGGGGCUAGCGUUGUUCGGAAUGACUGGGCGUAAAGGGCGCGUAGGCGGUUUUUUAAGUGAGGCGUGAAAGCCCUGGGCUUAACCCAGGAGGUGCGUUUCAGACUGAAAGACUUGAGUGCGAGAGAGGAAAGUGGAAUUCCUAGUGUAGAGGUGAAAUUCGUAGAUAUUAGGAAGAACACCCGUGGCGAAGGCGGCUUUCUGGCUCGCAACUGACGCUGAGGCGCGAAAGCGUGGGGAGCAAACAGGG